rnacentral:lncRNA from 10 species
CAGAAUCACCUGGAGGAGUUGUUAAAAAUGCACAUUCCUGUGCCCUGUUCCCAGUUGCUGUUUCAGUGUAUCUGAGGUGGGACUGGUAACUUGCAUUUCUAAUGAGUUCCCAGGAGUUGCUCAUGCUGCUGCUGUGGGACCACACUUUGAGAAGCACUGGUUUACUCUGAGGCAGGUACUUACACUGUGAAAUUUUAUGAUGGAGUAGUUCAGACUGUCAAACAUAUUCAUGUCAAAGCUUUUUCCAAAGAUCAGAAUAUUGUGGGUAAUGCUAGGCCUAAAGAAACAGAUCACAAAAGUCUUUCAUCAUCUCCUGAUAAACGAGAGAAGUUUAAAGAACAGAGAAAAGCAACAGUGAAUGUGAAGAAAGACAAAGAAGAUAAACCCUUAAAGACAGAAAAGCGACCCAAGCAGCCUGAUAAAGAAGGAAAGUUAAUCUGUUCUGAAAAGGGGAAAGUGUCAGAGAAAAGUCUUCCCAAGAACGAGAAGGAAGACAAGGAAAACAUUUCCGAAAAUGACAGAGAGUAUUCUGGAGAUGCCCAAGUGGAUAAGAAACCUGAAAAUGACAUUGUGAAGAGUCCACAAGAAAACUUGAGGGAACCCAAAAGAAAACGAGGCAGACCCCCUUCCAUAGCUCCUACUG